AUGCUGACGAAGGCGAUUUGCAUUCAUUUCUACAGCAACUCUAUGAACUGGUCCUGUGAUUCCCAUUUCACCAAAAGGGAAAAGUGGUACUCACCUUUGUGCAGCAGAGCCACUCAAGAUCAUCACCUUAAGAGAGUGGGUGCGAGCCUGAAAAUGAUGCUGAAAGUGAAGAAGGAAGCCCCUGCCCCUCCCAAAAUGGAAGCCAAAACAAAGACUUUGAAGGCCAAGAAAGUAGUGUUGAAAGGUAGAGGUAGCCACAGGCACGCACACAAAAAGAUCUGCAUAUCACCUACCUUCCCAGGGCCCAAGACACUGCCUCUCUGAACACAGCCCAAAUAUUCUCAAAAAAGCACCCCCAGGGAAACAAGCUUGACCACUAUGCCAUCAUCAAGUUUCCCCUGACUACCGAGUCAGCCAUGAAGAAGACGAAGGCAACAACAGAUUUGUUUCAUUGUGGAUGUCAAGACCAGUAAGUACCAGAUGCAACAGGCCAUGAAGAAGCUCUAUGGCAUUGAUGUGACCAAAGUCAACAACCUGAUCAGGCCUGAUGGACAGAAGAAGGAAUAUAUUUGACUGGCUCUUGACUAUGGUGCUUUGGAUAUUGCCAACAAAAUUGGGAUCAUCUAAAAUGAGUCUAUCUGGCUAAAUUUAAAUACAGUUGUUUGUUUUUUUUUUUUACCAUAAGAAAUUCCAUUGUAGAUGUAUGUGUGUGUUUCUAUAUGUAUAAAUUAUAUAUUGUGUUAUACACAUAUAAAUACCUGUGUAUAUAUUUACACACAAAUAUGCAAAUAUUUAACCACAUACACAUAUCUAAAUGCACACCCUACAUACACAGAUACACAAAUAUAUAUAUAUCACAUUUUCUUUAUUCAUCCAUCAGUGAACACUUAGGUUGUUUGCAUAAUUUGGCUAUUGUAAAAAACACUACAAUAGACAUGGGAGUACAGAUAUCUUUUCAGAUUAGUGUCUUCAUUUUCUUUGGCUAAAUACUCAGUAGUGGAAUUGCUGGAUUAGAUGGUAGUUUUAUUUGUAGUUUUCUUGAGGGAAUUCCAUGCUGUUUUCUAUACAGACACUACAAUUUAUAUUUCCAGAAACAGUGCAUGAGAUUGCUUUUUCUCCACAUCUUUGCCAACACUGGACAUAGCUAGUCUUUUUGAUAAUAGCCAUUCUAACAGAUGUGAGGUGAUAUCUCAUUGUAAAUUUGAUUUGCAUUCCAUGAUUAUUAAUGAAGUAGAGCAUCUUUUCAUGUGCCUGCAUUGGCCAUCUGUAUUCCUUCUUUAGAAAAAUGUCUAUUCAGUUCUGCUCAUUUUUUUUCAUUGGAUUGUUUUUUGGCUGUUCAAUUGUAUGAGGUUUUUAUAUAUCUUGGAUAUUAGCCCCUUAUUAGAUAUAUGAUUUGCUAAUAUUUUCUUUUAUUCAGUAGGUUGCCUUUUAAUUUUGUUGAUGGUUUCCUUUGCUGUGCAAAAUCUUUUUAGUUUGAUGUGAUCUUAUUUGUUUGUUUCUACUUUUCUUGCUUUUGCUUUUGGUGUCAGAUUCAAAAAUCAUCACCAAGACCUAUGUCCAUGAAUUUAACAUGUUUGUGCUCUAGGAGUUUUAUGGUUUCAGGUAUUACAUUCAAGUUUUGAAUCUAUUUUGAGUUAAUUUUUUUUAUAAUAUUAUGUAAUGAUCCAGUUUCUUUUUUUUCCAGGCUGUUGUCCAAUUUUCCUGACACCAUUUAUUGAAAACAGUGUCCUUUCCACAUUUUAUAUUUGUAGAUAUUUUGUCGUAAAUUAAUUGACCAUAUAUGUGUGGGUUUAUUUCUGGACUUUCUAUUUUGUUUUAUUAACCUAUGUGUCUGUUUUUAUGCCAAUAUCAUACUGUUUUAAUUACUAUAGCUUUGUAAUAGAAUUUGAAAUCAAAGAUUGUGAUGACUUCAGCUUUGUUCUUUUUCAAGAAUGUUUUGGCUGUUUUUACAUAAAUUUUAGGAUUUUUGUUCUAUUUCUGUAAAAACUGCCAUUUGAAUUUUGACAAGGAUUGCAUGGAAUCUGCAUAUUGCUUUGGGUGGUAUGAACAUCUUAAAAACUAAUUCUUCCAAUCUAUGAACAUCCACUUUUGGUGUCUUUUUCAAUUUUUUUCAUUAAUGCUUUAAAGAUCUCAAUAUAUGAGUCUUCUCCUUGGUUAAAUUAACUCCUACGUAUUUUAUUGAUGCAAUUGUAAAGGGGAUUGUUUUCUUAAUUACUCUUUCUGAUAAUUAAUAGUGUUUAGAAAUGCAGCAGAUUUUUGUGCAUUGAUUUUGUAUGCACAAAUUAUAGGAUACAAAUUAUAGGAUAAUGUAUACUUAAUUUGUUUAUUCCAACAGUUUUUGGGGGGGUCUUUAGGGAUACACAUAUAUAUAAAAAUAUAUAUAUGCACAUAUAAAGUAUAUAUAAUUUAUAUUUAUACAUAAUUAUAUAAUAUAUAAUUUGAUAUAUAAUAUAUAAUUUAUAUAUAUAAAUAUGUGUGUGUAUAUAUAUAUGUGUGUGUGUGUGUGUGUAAAAUCUGCAAAUAGUGAGUUUUACUUCUUCCUUUUUUAAUUUGGAUGCCUUUUCUUUUUCUUGCCUAAUUGCUGCAGCUAGGUCUUCCAAUACUGUGUUGAAUAAAAGUGGUGAAAGUAGAUAUCCUUGUCUUUUU
rnacentral:lncRNA from 12 species